rnacentral:rRNA from 1 species
UACAGAGGUCCCAAGCGUUGUUCGGAUUCAUUGGGCGUAAAGGGUGUGUAGGUGGCGCCGUAAGUCGGGUGUGAAAUCUCGGGGCUUAACUCCGAAACUGCAUUCGAUACUGCGGUGCUUGAGGACUGGAGAGGAGACUGGAAUUCAUGGUGUAGCAGUGAAAUGCGUAGAGAUCAUGAGGAAGACCAGUGGCGAAGGCGGCCACCUGGACGGUAACUGACGCUGAGACGCGAAAGCGUGGGGAGCAAACAGG